rnacentral:rRNA from 1 species
CGGAGGGUGCAAGCGUUAUCCGGAUUCACUGGGUUUAAAGGGUGCGUAGGUGGACAGGUAAGUCAGUGGUGAAAUCUCCAAGCUUAACUUGGAAACUGCCGUUGAUACUAUCUGUCUUGAAUAUCGUGGAGGUAAGCGGAAUAUGUCAUGUAGCGGUGAAAUGCUUAGAUAUGACAUAGAACACCGAUUGCGAAGGCAGCUUACUACACGAUCAUUGACACUGAGGCACGAAAGCGUGGGAGCAAACAGGAUU